rnacentral:rRNA from 1 species
AAUGAACGCUGGCGGCGUGCCUAAUACAUGCAAGUCGAACGCGAAAGUCCUUCGGGAUGAGUAAAGUGGCGCACGGGUGAGUAAUACAUGAGAACAUGCCCUUAAAUGGGGAAUAACGUUUGGAAACGAACGCUAAUACCGCAUAAUCUCGCGAGAGUAAAGGUGGCGCCGCAAGGGCUACCGUUUAAGGAUUGGCUCAUGUCCCAUUAGCUAGUUGGCGGGGUAAUGGCCCACCAAGGCAACGAUGGGUAACUGGUCUGAGAGGAUGAUCAGUCACACUGGAACUGAGACACGGUCCAGACUCCUACGGGAGGCAGCAGUAGGGAAUAUUGCACAAUAAGGGAAACCCUGAUGCAGCAACGCCGCGUGAGUGAAGAAGGCCCUUGGGUUGUAAAGCUCUUUAGCGAGGGAAGAAGGUAGAUAUGGUGAACAAUCAUGUUUGCUGACGGUACCUCGAGAAUAAGCACCGGCUAAUUUCGUGCCAGCCGCCGCCGUAAUAC